rnacentral:rRNA from 1 species
UACGAAGGUGGCAAGCGUUGUUCGGAUUUACUGGGCGUAAAGCGUAUGUAGGCGGUUUGACAAGUCAGGAGUGAAAUCCCAGGGCUUAACCCUGGAAUUGCUUUUGAAACUGUCUUACUUGAAUCCGGUAGAGGUUGGCGGAAUUCCCAGUGUAGAGGUGAAAUUCGCAGAUAUUGGGAGGAACACCAGUGGCGUAAGCGGCCAACUGGAACGGUAUUGACGCUGAGGUACGAAAGCGUGGGUAGCAAACAGG